CAAUGGAAGGCCUUCUUGUGCU
rnacentral:misc_RNA from 1 species